AUGUAUGCAGUGAUGCCCCUCACGGUCCUGGUCGUCCUGUUGGUGGUGGUGACCUGUGGGGGUGAAACAAAUCAAGCUACAGGCACAGGGACCAGCACCGCUCCCCUGCCCCCCACCACAGUCCUUCCACAGAUGGUGGACACCAGCACCACACCAAUGCCUCAGACAAAGACCACUGUCAGUCCAGCUUCACCUUCGCUACAAGUCACCAACAGCCCAGAGGAAAGUACUAGAAGCACUUCACUUUUGACCACAAACAAUCAGCCUUCAGAGGAUGAGACCAACUCUGAAAAAACUACACUUCCAGCAGCAGGAUCACCAUCAACAUCAGCAUCUUCAUCAACAUCAGCAUCAGCAACAGCAUCUUCAUCAGCAUCAGCAUCAACAUCAACAUCAACAUCAACAUCAACAUCAACAUCAACAUCAACAUCAACAUCAACAUCAGCAUCUCCAUCAACAUCAGCAUCAACAUCAGCAUCAACAUCUCCAUCAGCAUCUCCAUCAGCAUCUCCAUCAGCAUCUCCAUCAGCAUCAUCUAAUGACACGAUUUCAUCAAAUCCAGGAGCCUCAGUCGUAUCCCCUGAAAUGGGUAAAGGGGACUUGGCAGCCAGUCCUGGUCUGGUGGCUGUUAUUUGCAUCUUCUGUAUCAUCCUGGUUCUCACGCUGGUGGUUACAAUUAUUAAAUGUGUCUAUUUGCCCCCACCUAACUUUGAGAGGCUCGAAGAUGUGCAGCUGGGCAACGUGAACGAGCAGUCUCCAUUUGCUCAUUACUCAAAAUGAAACACCAACACCACAGGUCUGCAGACGUCUCCUCGAGGGAAACAAAACUGCUGAUGUGUACCUCUCACUGUUUUAUGCUGCACUUUAUUUACUGCGGAUUAUUUUGUGUUUUGUGCUGCUUUUAAUGAACCUUGAAAUUCUGUUCAUAUUAUUGAUUAAUAAAAUAAACAAACUUUUGCUCCA
rnacentral:lncRNA from 1 species